GACGAACGCUGGCGGCGUGCUUAACACAUGCAAGUCGUGCGGUAAGGCCCUUUCGGGGGUACACGAGCGGCGAACGGGUGAGUAACACGUGAGCAACCUGCCCUUCACUUUGGGAUAACUGCCGGAAACGGUGGCUAAUACCGGAUAUGACUUCCUCACCCAUGUGGGGUGGUGGAAAGCCUUCGGGUGGUGGGGGAUGGGCUCGCGGUCUAUCAGCUUGUUGGUGGGGUGAUGGCCUACCAAGGCUUCGACGGGUAGCCGGCCUGAGAGGGUGACCGGCCACACUGGGACUGAGACACGGCCCAGACUCCUACGGGAGGCAGCAGUGGGGAAUAUUGGACAAUGGGCGAAAGCCUGAUCCAGCAACGCCGCGUGAGGGAUGACGGCCUUCGGGUUGUAAACCUCUUUCGCCUGCGACGAAGCGAGAGUGACGGUAGCAGGUAAAGAAGCACCGGCCAACUACGUG
rnacentral:rRNA from 1 species